GCAGCAUGGGUGAAAGAUGUUCUUGACAGCCGGGAGCCAGUCUGCUCAGUACGCACUGGGUUAGUGUUGCUUACCUUCAUCAUGGGAGAAAAGUUCUUGCAGCC